AGGUCUGUGGAUUGUAAACCUCUUUUGUUGGGGAAGAUAAUGACGGUACCCAACGAAUAAGCAUCGGCUAACUCCGUGCCAGCAGCCGCGGUAAGACGGAGGAUGCAAGCGUUAUCCGGAAUUAUUGGGCGUAAAGCGUACGUAGGCUGUUUCAUAAGUCUGUUGUCAAAGCGCSAGGCUCAACCUUGUAAAGGCAAUGGAAACUGCGAGACUAGAGAGAGAUAGGGGCAGRAGGAAUUCCAGGUGUAGCGGUGAAAUGCGUAGAUAUCUGGAAGAACACCAGUGGCGAAA
rnacentral:rRNA from 1 species